AUAAUUAUGUACAUGAGGACUAGUGUUAAAAUGGUGAAUUGUGGUUGAGUCAUUAAGUGUAUAAGGGUGUAGGUAUUUAAGUAAAACUUGAACCCCCAGGCAGUAUGUUGUUAGAUAAGGUUUUAUGUUUAUAAGUAUCCUGCAUACCUAGUUUGUGUUCUUGAAUUUAGUAGUAUGGAGAAGUCUGGAAAGUUGUUGUAUAGCGUGCUUUAAAGUAAUAUUGUGAAAACAUAUGUAGGCAAUAUAAUCCUUUGGUACAAUUUUACAAAUUUUGUUAAGUUGUGGUUAUGUGAUUAGAGGUGUAAUGCUAG
rnacentral:lncRNA from 1 species